rnacentral:lncRNA from 1 species
CUUGUCUCGCCCAAAAUAUCCUUCGUUAUGAAGUUCACUAAUAAUCUGCUGCCUUAGUGAACAAUCCGGAAUGCAUAACUGCAAUCCACGAAACAGGUAGCCAUUAUGUAAAACAAAAUUAUGUCGGUGAUUAUCAGUUACCUCCCGAAUUAUCUUCCCAAAUGAAGGAUCCGCAGCAUACAUAUCAGGAAAUGCCUCAAAUCCGACAAUCUUGGUGCUCAUGGUGGUGAGGAGUAAUGUGCG